CCGGCGGGAUCUGGAUGUGGCUCAUGCCGGCGGCGGCCGAAGGGAUAGACGGGUUGGGCCGCCGGCGGCCACUGUCUCCGCGCUCACUCACGCCGGCCUUUCGCUCCGCGCCCGCGAGGUCUCUUCGCGCACGGCCCCGGCUCACGUCGCGCCGCUCUUUGGCCGGCUCUGCGUUUCCGGGCCGCGCAACCCUACGCUACCACGGCCGACCUGGCACCGCCGCCGCUGUCACUGGGCAGCCGCCGCCGCCGCGGGGACCGACGGGCAGGCGAGCUGGACGGGCGGGGCAGGCGUCCUGGUUGUGACGCACGCCACCGCGGGCGUGCGCGUCCCCGCUUAGCACCGGCCCUCAGUGCGCUUGCGCCACUAGAUGACCCGCCCCCUCGGGCUGUCGGGGGGUCGAGACAGUGGAGUGUUCCUGAUGCCAGCUCACGGAGGGAAUCCAGGGAAUUAGCUGAUGCCAAGAGCCUCUUUUUGGCCAGCACUUACUAAGCACCAGAGACACAGCGAGAAGCAGAAGCAUACGAGCACAUCAGUGUGAUUCUGCUGUGAUGAAGGGCAAGAGAGGGCUCACUUUCCGGCGUGACAUUCAAGCUAGCCCCGAGGCCUGAGCAGGACCCGCCCAGGGGAAGAUCUGGAGGAAAGCCAUCUGAACAUACAACAAGAGCAAAGGCCUGGUGGAGUCAAGACCACCUUGGCUGCCAGGUGGAAUGGUGGAAUAACUCAGGAGUCUGUCAGGUCUCUGAGAUGUCAAACGGGUAAGGCCUUGUAGGAAGUAGGCGUUUGAAUGAGAUCAUAAUUUGAGAGCCACAGACAGAAAAAUAAAUUUGAAAGAGUUCACUC
rnacentral:lncRNA from 10 species